CUUGCAAAACACAGGAUCUCCUUGAUCAUCUCCUUACAUCAAACAAAAACAGGAACAGGAGCAAGACACUGACUGGAGCCAGAACAUGUCAGUUUGACACACAUUUUCUAGCUGCAAAUGACUUCUUUUACAAAAAGAUCACUAAAGAAGCGGUGUACACUGGGCAUGAAGAAGUUACCACUGCCUAUGGGUAGUUUACCUCCCUGAAUUUCACCUCAGUGGGACCCUGAGAUGAGCCUGCAAAGCACAGUGCGUCCUGCCUCUGCGCAGGGGAUGGGAGUGGGCUGCUACCUCCCAGUUAUGGCCUUUCCUUAGCUACAAUCAGCAGUGGUUCUCACUUCUGUUGAAACAGACGUAGAGCAUGCUGGUACUGAUAUCUGGGGAGGUUUAUUUUGCUUCAUUGUUAGUAACAGCUUAUGCAAAAUAUUCCAUAACAAAUCUUUCCUAUACCACCUGCCGGGCUCUACCUGCAGGACGCAGGCAAGGCGCGGUGCAUGAAUGCAGCGAUCCAUUCUUUCAUCACAGCACAAGGAAUACUUCCACACACACACACAGGGGUGCUGGCUUCUGAUGCUUUACAGUGCUUUUACUGUUCUUGCUGUAUUAAAGUUUAAUUACUUUUUAACUUAGAUAUUUACACAGAACAUAAACUGUUCAGAAGGAUAACUGUCAACCAGCCAAGACCUCCUUGGCAGGACUUUGAGAUCGUAUUUUACUCUUCUGGUGAUGGCAGCUCUGGCACAGAAUUGCUUCAGUUCUGAGGAUUAUAUCUGUGUGUAUGUUUGAUCCCUCUGGGGAGACUGCCAAAGCACCAAGAUUAAUUAGCAACUUACCCAAAAUACACUCCCCAUUAGAUAGAUCUUAAAGGGUUCCUUGUCAAAGCCUGCUUUAUAAAAACACAUUUUGAAAUAUUAAUGAAUCCAUAUCACAAAAGAUGACAUUCUGAACUCUAUCUCAGUGCCCAUUCCCAUCUCCACGCUAUGUAAAAUGACAGUUAUUAGUUUUGUGACAGCUCUGCGCUUACAUCAGCUUUGCAGAGCUCUGGCCAAAUCACAGAAGAGAAACUCUCCUGAUGGACAAAUACUGCAUCAUUAUGUUCCCAGCUACUGCAACAUCCUCAAUCAAUAUAGCUUUAAAAGUAAGUAAGAUGACAGGGAUGCAUUCAAACUGAUGCAUGACCACAGUACAAAACUAAUUACAAAGGCUUUUAGUAAUUGGUUUGAAAUGUACACUCCCUUUCCCAAGGGAAGAGAACAAGGGACAGGUAUCAGUUCAUCUGCCUAAACCCUGGAAAAAUGCAAUGGACACAGACAGGUCUAAAUGAAGACAGGGACGACCUCUUACUCCUGGUAGCAGUGGAUGUUUCACUCAUCAUUCUUAAUUCCCACACUCUUAAUUCCCAAACUGGUUGUGAUCAUAUCAGUUUUCAUCGGCCAUUGAAGCUAAGUGAUGUGGAGCCUGUGCUGAGCUGCUUGCCCUUAAGAGGCCUUUGCACAGCAGCUGAUACACAAAGCCACUAAAGUUAAUUAAACACAGCAGUGGAAGAGCCAACCCUUAAAGGAAGGUUUCCCUACAGAGGUUACCACCAGUUUAAACACCAGUAAGACACCCUCCACUGUGUGCCCCAGACCAGUGCUCUAUUUCAACUUGCCUGGGGAGCAGCAGGGAGGUGUGCAUGGUAUUUCAAUGGACUGCAAUGAGAGAACAGCAGCUAUCCGACAUAGGAGGCUCCACAGAGAUGCUGUCAAGGAGCCUAGAACAACUCCAUAAAACAGAGCCAUAAUGAUGGCACUGUGCUGUGAGCAGGACUGCCUCACGGUGAAUGCACUGCCUUAAGACUCAAAAUCACACCACAUUUCAGCGCUCAACAAUGACCAUCCCCGGAGGAGAGAAGGAAUAGGCCUUCCUACCUCAGUGGGCAGUAAAUGCUCUGCUGGGAGCAGUGCUUUCCACAGCAGUGUCCUGGUGGUGAACAAGUGCUUUUCCAGGGCAAAGUGUGCUUGCUCCAGGCUUCCAGACACGCUGUGCUGCGCCAGCUCGGAGCUGGCACCUGCAGUUUGUGCUCACCCGCAGCAGCAGUCAGCCUGGGUACUGCAGCACAACCCACUGCACAUCUUCCUUCUUCACCCGACCUUCACACUCACACAGUACAGUAAUAGUCAAGAAGCAUGAGUUCACCAACUCAUUCACUUCCCUGGCAGUACCAGCAUGGAGGAGGCACUACUGAAGAACCCACCAUAAUUAAAAUGCACUGCCAAGGGGUCUGUGCUCUAACAGCAUCAGAGGCACAGCUCAAGGAGCCCCUCAGCGACAGCACUAGAUGUUACUGUAGCUGUGCUCUAUAUACUGACGCUACUAAAAAUAAACCAGGAAGACAUUCCUCACCUAAGGCCCAGGAGGGUUCUGGUAUGCAGCUGAGUCAUGCAAUAGUCAUUAAAAUCAACACAACUUCAUCUCUGGUUUGCACUCUAUCAGCACAAGCCAAAAAAAUAUGCCUUUGUACGUAUCAAAAAAGCAACACUGCACCCACUGGAACAAGGAAGUAAUUUGGAGGUCAAGGUCUUCUGGAAACAAUCGCAGAAAUAAGAAAGAAACGCAUUAAGAAAGGAGGAAGUAACACUCUUUUUAUUUUCCACAAAGAACUGGAGAGAAUGUGUUUAGUGCUUGUGGAAGACAUGAGAUCGACAGCAACAUCCUUAGUCAACAAAGCAGCACGAGCCUCUCCCACCUGUUAGCGCUGCCUGGCUCGCUGCAACGCACUGCACUGCCAGCAGCUCGGCUGUGCCAGAAGCUCAGUGACAUUUAUCAGCACGAGGUCAGCUCAAAGGUGAAACACAAACUGUUUCUGAUGACUUGUCAUUUUCCCAUACCAGUCUGAUCACUGAAGAAUAUAUCCUGAGAUGCCAUUUGAAUCUGAGCUACAUAGAGGGCAUGUGUGUAUGCAGACAUACAUGCAGGUUAGGGAUUCUAGAAACGUCAGCUGCAUUUAAUCAGAUGAUGCUUAUACCUAAGAGAGAGCUACCAAACCUGCCUACAAGUACAGAAAGAUUAUGAGGUGUACACUGCUAUCAUCACCCUACCAGUGGGGACACUGCUGCUGCUCAAGUACACGAUCCUCAUUAGUGAGACUAAUCUUCAGGAGCUCAGUCCUCAGAACUGCAUCCAACAAGCUGCAUUGGACUAUCCCACAGCAUUGCUCUUUAACACCUUCUUUCUCCAUUCCUUUAAAAGCAUUCUUUUGGCACUCUAAAGGUCUCCUUGAAAAGCUUCACGGCCACUGCUUAAAAUCUAGUUAUUUCAUACAAUUUCUAUUCACUUCUUUUCUACAGUGGACAACAGUGAAACAACAUAUCCCAGAUGUGCAGCAGGCCUUACUCCGAGAUGAUGAUGCAGACUGAAGUUAUAUGGUGGUUUCACCUCAACAUGGGAAAACAAACAUCAACACAGGUUUAGGAAAAGGACUCGACUGCUGCCGUACGGUUAAAAUAAACACAGCAAAACCCACAAGAUUUCCCCGUUAAAUAAAGGAAUGACAUCCAAAUACUUGCACAUUCAUCUCUGAAAAGCCCGAAGCAUUUUAACUCGCACACAGGCACCGCUGGGACAGCAGUCCUUCUUCAGCUCCACACUUAAAGAAAUGCAGAAUUUUGAAAAACUAGACAAGCCAACAGGUAACACCGAGCAGCCAAAGCACCAGCGGCCAGAGCCACAGGGCACCCGACUGCAGAACUGCUCCAUGGUGCCCUGCAGCCAGCGUGGAGGCGAGGGGCCCAGCGCAGAUGCAAGCGCUGCCUGAAACAAAAUCAUUCUGCACAUCUACGGUCACACAGAUAUCCAUCUUGUAUCUCUCUGAUGUAUGGGUUUAAACAGGAGCCAAGUGAAUUCAGGGUGUGAUGAAACUCCCCAGAUCAAGCAAGCCCUGCUCUUCCUUCUCCCACCCACAAAUGACACCGGUGUCUCCAGCUCUUUUCCAGGGAAGCUGCUGCACUGCCGUCUCCUGCAGGCAUCCCCACUUCAGGGAUAACAUCCCAGAACAGAACUUGGCUACAUGCACAAGCUUCAGUUUCAAGUUCAGUCUCAGUUGGACCACUGCAAAUGUACUAUUCCAGUUUAGAACUUGUUAUACAGGUUGAGCUUACUGCUGGAAAAGCCAACCUACCUACCCAGCCAUUGCGGGCCAGCCUUACAAGUGCCUUAAGAGCUCUCAUCCCCCAGAGUGCUGUUUGUUUCAUCUUACAAAUUACUUCACUAUGGAGGUGAAAAACCUUACAGCUGCUUUAGGCACGUAGGAACAGUGCUGAUAGAAGGAUGACACUGUCAGUCAUGAUACCUAAAAUAUUUAUUUUAAAGCGUCAUUUUUUUCCUGCUCAUCUUUGCACGGAGCUGAGCCAUGCAGCUCCCAGAACAGCACUUACCUCCUGGCUGCUAACGACCAGCACUCAGCCUUUACAGACACUGCACUGCUGCAGGGGGCUGCCUGCUCUCUGGGUUUUAGAGGGAGACAGCAUGCUCAGAAAGGCUCCAUCAAAGCAAGAGCCACUUGCCCAAGACAUCAGCUGCAGCCAGCAGUCCUCAUCACGGGAAAGCCAUCACCAAAGCACUGAGAAUUAAGAAUCUGCACUGAGAAUCAAUGGGAAAAUUUUCACUGAAAACCUGGCAAAUUCAACAUCGGAUGAGGGGAAGACAGAGCUCCUGAAAAUGAAGCAAUCUGCGAAAAGGUGAAGCUGCAACUCCAAAUGCCAAGAUAAACUGGCUCUGCAAACAGAACAUGUUCAGAUAACUGCGGAGGCCCCGAUAAAAGGACAAUGCUAUUACCUCUGGGAAGCAAAGAUACCCACGUAAAUCAGGCUGUCUGCUUGGGAUGUUGUUCUGGUCUCUUGAGGAUAGGAUCAAGUAGGUACUUCAUAAUUAAUUUAGUUGUCACUUGUGUAACACAUCCUUACUCCUACACAUGGAAAGAUUACUAAUAGCUUAAUUCUCUUUUGUUGUUGUUGUUUUUAAAUCACAGCCAUUCCUGUUGGGUAAAGCAGCCUUAAAGUAAACACAUACCCAGCCUUUCACAUUCCUUCCAAUGAUCAGAAACAACAAAACAGCUAUUUAUGAAUCAGAAAGGUCAGUGUAGGAUGCACUUCUGCAGGGGACAGAUGCACGUUACAGCCAGAGGGUGGGAAUGUUUGAGACACAGUGCUGCUGGCCUAAAGGGCUGAUGGUUAUUAUCUGUGUGGAAGAUACCCCCACUGCCGUGCAUGCUGCAGGGAGAAUGCAGACACACCUCGUCCCCACUCAUGUGACAGUAAGCUGUGCAGUCAUCCUGCAAUGUUUUAUUGAUAAGGCUCCACUAAUUUUGUGUUAGUUACACACAUGCCAUUGACCACCAAAAUCAGAUCUAUAGUACAGGUGGUUUCAAACCAGACAUGGAAACAUAUGGCCUAGAAAAUCAGAGAAUCAUGGAAUGGUUUGGGUUGGAAGGGACCUUCAAGAAACACAGGACUGUUGGCAAGGCACAGGACAAGACUCAAGAAGGUAACCUUGAGUUAACAUUAGGAGGCAAGGAUUAUAACACGCUGCAUUACAGAGGAACAUCUUAUCAGUAAGUAAGAAAGUAAUCAAGGAAUAAGUGUCUGAAGCCAAGAUCUAUGGCAAACAGGCCACACACCUGGAAGGUGCAGUUCUUAAAGGAGAAGCUACCAAAGAAACUCUGUGACUGUGGAUACAUUAGCCACUUCCACAACUUCAGACGCACACCUGAAGCAGCAAGGCAGUAUUUGUAAAACCUCUGCCAGUUCUCAAAACAUGGCAGCCCUAAAGGCAGCAAUAAGCACAUCCAGCACCAUCUGAGUUGCCGUGAUUAAGUGACUUCUCUGAUUGACUGUUUAAUACAGCUUUGUUUGUUUGCUUUCCU